AUAGCUCCAACAGACACACAAACACACAAUGUAGGAAUGUUAUUCACCCCUGCUAGACCUUUCAGGACCUUUCAAAACAAAGCCUGGGUCAGCAGUUAUUGUGCCCAGUGCCCAGCAGCACACAGUCUCCUGCAUCCUGUUUACAUCUCUGCCAACGCCACCCUCCACCUGCUGGGACGGAUCCUUGCUGCUCCACCUGGGACCUGUUCUGAACGAGCCCCCCAGAAUCUUAAACACCAAGAGUGGUAUUUAUCCAGCGGUGGAAGUGAAGUCCUCUGGGUUUUUAAAGAUCUUGUGGACAGGAUUGUUAAGAGUUAAGAUGUCCAUAAAGAGACGGCUGUUGUCCAUGUUGUUAUGCUGUGUUUACUGUGUGGCCUCGCUCUUCUGCCUCCACCCCAACCGGAACAGCUGCUUCUCUGCUGGAGCACGGAACAUGGCAUCUGUCUUUCAGCAGCUUUCCCAGCGUGUCCUUCGAAUGCUGCGCACCACUCUCUGAUCCACAAAGUCUCCUGCAGGUUUCAACCAGUGACUCCUGGAGGCUGUCCUGCUGCUGCGGACACUGCUGCUGUUUUUAAGCAUGCCUUCCAGAAGCACAUCACCAAUAAGAGAGAAGAAGAAGAAGAAGAAGAAGAAGAAGAAGAAGAAGAAGAAGAAGAAGAAGAAGAAGAAGAAGAAGGAGAAACAGAGGAGGAAGAGGGGUACUGACACUCCAUAUUGGACUGAAUUGUAGUUUUUAAGGGGCUGAAGCUGACCUGUUUGGUUCAGCGCUACAUUUUUUAGUAUAUUUGAGACAAGAUGAAGAGACGUUUUAAUUAAAAUGUUUAUUUUUUUACUGACAUGGAUUCACAUGCUGAGUGUCUUAUUUUGAACCUAUUUAGGAGGGCUCCACCGCGUGGUUGGCGGCUGUAAAUUCCUGGCAGUGUAUUUGAAUUAAGAAAAGGUGCAAUUAACAGGCUGUAGCCCCUUUAGGUAUCUGCUGGUUUGAAUAAAAACAUGUGUUUGUAAAACUGAAAAUAAAAAUAAGUGGAAAUGAUGAUGUGAUAAUGAUUCGCUUAGUGACAGAAACUGACUACAUAAUUUUUUUAUGAAAUGACUGAAUGUGCAGCUUCAACCCAUCCGCUGGAAGGACAAUACUGGAAACUGAUUUUACUUUAUUGAGAUGUUUGCUUUAAUAAA